rnacentral:rRNA from 1 species
AUACGUAGGUGACAAGCGUUAUCCGGAUUUACUGGGCGUAAAGGGUGCGUAGGUGGUCUUUCAAGUCGGUGGUUAAAGGCUACGGCUCAACCGUAUUAAGCCGCCGAAACUGGAAGACUUGAGUGCAGGAGAGGAAAGUGGACUUCUCAGUGUAGCGGUGAAAUGCGUAGAUAUUGAGAAGAACACCAGUAGCGAAGGCGGCUUUCUGGACUGUAACUGACACUGAGGCACGAAAGCGUGGGUAGCAAACAGGAUUAGAUACCCUGGUAGUCCACGCCGUAAACGAUGAGUAUUAGGUGUCGGGGGUUACCCCCCUCGGUGCCGCAGUUAACGCAUUAAAUACUCCGCCUGGGGAGUACGCACGCAAGGGUGAAACUCAAAGGAAUUGACGGGG